UACGCAGCUAAUCAACGUCAUUGACAGGCGUCCUUAUGUGCAGCUACCGUUGCUCUCAUAGAUAUGAAUGAGUAGAUAGGACACGCCCCUUUGAGCUACGUGCUACAGCGAGGCUAAGCUAGUGGGGGAAAAGUUUCAGUGCAUUCCGUUGAUGUAGACGGCGUGAAAACGGAAACAACAAGUAUGCCGGCUCACUGUGCUGCAUACAGUUACACACUACGUCGUACGAUUGAGACAAGGAAACUUGGAAUGACUUUUCAUAGAUUUAACAUGGGCGGAUCUACUGGGGGGGGCAUAGGGGGGCAAAUGCCCCCCUAAAAAAAAGCCUUGCCACCCCUGCUGCCACCCCAGUUUGCACCGACGAAUUUGACAUUUACGACCGAGGAACUCCAAUGUCUGACUGCCCUGAAUGCAGCACGAGAUGAGGCCAGAGCGGCAGCGAGCGGCUGCAGCGCAUGCACAGUAAGAGACUGAUUUGUUUCGAAAAAGUGAGGGAGCCAGGAGUCGCAAGAAAAGAAGACACAGGAGGAAAGAGAUGUAUCCAAGUCCAGGUGUGAGGUUCCAGUGCAGCCAAUGCGAGACAGUUUCCCUAAGACCCUCCAGGGAGGAGCCAGAAGAAGCUUCUGCAGCGACUGGUUUCCCAAAGACUAUGGAUUGAGGAGGAAUUGGAAGUUUGUCGGCUUAGACCUGGUGUCAUUCCAUCAGUGUUAAACUUCCCGGCUCAUCUUGGAAGAGUACGUGCCAGAAAGACCACGACCAAGCAGCCUUGAGAUCUUAGACAGCGUCUUCCUGAGGUCCCUCUCCAUCUCCCCACACAUCCACCAACCACUGGAACACAUCUCCAAAGUUCUGCCGGGCCAGCUCAGCUUCCCCUCAGAAGAAGUGCUGCCAGAUGAAGGAACCUUUUGAGAGGCAGCUGGCAUCGUGAUUGGACUGUACUUUGGUCUGUUCCAAUCCAACUUCAGCUCCAGAGACGGCAGGCGGGACGAGUCAACGGAGGCCAGGUGGACGAAGGCAUGCAGCUGAGUACAAUCCAGAAAACAACAGAGGAGGAGUGCAGCAUCCCAGGGCCAGAACAGGCAGAGUAGCAUCAUAUGUCUCUUAGAAAACAUCAUAGUAUAGCCUUUGGUAUGAAAAAACGCCAUCAUAUACAUCGUAGAUUGUACAAAUAACAAGUCAAAGGAAAGAGACAUACAUUGUAGAAUUGUAGUAAUUGUGGGCUGACUGAUCUACUGAUUAUCAGUAUUUUAUUUUUUACUGAUUUACGGUAAUAAAUAAAUUUAAAAAUGG